AGACUCCUACGGGAGGCAGCAGUAGGGAAUUUUCCGCAAUGGACGCAAGUCUGACGGAGCAACGCCGCGUGUGUGAAGAAGGCCUUUUGGUUGUAAAGCACUUUAAGCGAGGAGGAGGCUCUUCUAGUUAAUACCUAGGAUGAGUGGACGUUACUCGCAGAAUAAGCACCGGCUAACUCUGUGCCAGCAGCCGCGGUAAUACAGAGGGUGCGAGCGUUAAUCGGAUUUACUGGGCGUAAAGCGUGCGUAGGCGGCUUUUUAAGUCGGAUGUGAAAUCCCCGAGCUUAACUUGGGAAUUGCAUUCGAUACUGGGAAGCUAGAGUAUGGGAGAGGAUGGUAGAAUUCCAGGUGUAGCGGUGAAAUGCGUAGAGAUCUGGAGGAAUACCGGUGGCGAAGGCGGCCCCCUGGACGAAGACUGACGCUCAGGUGCGAAAGCGUGGGGAGCAAACAGGAUUAGAUACCCUGGUAGUCCACGCCGUAAACGAUGUCGACUUGGAGGUUGUGCCCUUGAGGCGUGGCUUCCGGAGCUAACGCGUUAAGUCGACCGCCUGGGGAGUACGGCCGCAAGGUUAAAACUCAAAUGAAUUGACGGGGGCCCGCACAAGCAGUGGAGCAUGUGGUUUAAUUCGAUGCAACGCGCAGAACCUUACCAGCCCUUGACAUGGGCCGGACCGGCCGAGAGAUCGGCCUUCCCCGCGAGGGGCCGGCCGCACAGGUGCUGCAUGGCUGUCGUCAGCUCGCGUGUCGUGAGAUGUUGGGUUAAGUCCCGCAACGAGCGCAACCCCGUGUUUAGUUGCCACCGUUGAGUUUGGAACCCUCAGUUGCCAGCACGUCCGGGUGGGCACUCUGGAGGAACUGCCGGUGACAAGCCGGAGGAAGUGGGGAUGACGUCAAGUCCUCAUGGCCCUCAUGGGCUGGGCCACACACGUGCUACAAUGGCGGUGACAGCGGGAGGCCAGGCGGCGACGCCGCGCCGAUCCCGAAAAGCCGUCUCAGUUCGGAUCGCACCCUGCAACUCGGGUGCGUGAAGGUGGAAUCGCUAGUAAUCGCGGAUCAGCACGCCGCG
rnacentral:rRNA from 1 species